UACGUAGGUGGCAAGCGUUAUCCGGAAUUAUUGGGCGUAAAGAGCGCGCAGGUGGUUGAUUAAGUCUGAUGUGAAAGCCCACGGCUUAACCGUGGAGGGUCAUUGGAAACUGGUCGACUUGAGUGCAGAAGAGGGAAGUGGAAUUCCAUGUGUAGCGGUGAAAUGCGUAGAGAUAUGGAGGAACACCAGUGGCGAAGGCGGCUUGCUGGUCUGUAACUGACACUGAGGCGCGAAAGCGUGGGGAGCAAACAGGAUUGGAA
rnacentral:rRNA from 1 species